CGAACGCUUGCUGCAUGCUUUAUACAUGCAAGUCGAACGGAGGCCCUAGCUUGCUAGGUGUCCUUAGUGGCGCACGGGUGAGUAACACGUGGGAACAUACCUUAUAGUACGGAAUAACUGCGGGAAACUGUAGCUAAUACCGUAUACUCCAGUAAUGGGAAAGAUUUAUCGCUAUAAGAUUGGCCCGCGCAAGAUUAGCUUGUUGGUGAGGUAAAAGCUCACCAAGGCUUCGAUCUUUAGCUGGUUUGAGAGGACGAUCAGCCACACUGGGACUGAGACACGGCCCAGACUCCUACGGGAGGCAGCAGUAGGGAAUAUUGGACAAUGGGGGCAACCCUGAUCCAGCAAUGCAGCGUGAGUGACGAAGGCCUUAGGGUUGUAAAACUCUUUCAUCGGUGAGGAUAAUGACAGUAGCCGAAGAAGAAGGACCGGCUAAUUCCGU
rnacentral:rRNA from 1 species